UACGAAGGGGGCGAGCGUUGUUCGGAAUUACUGGGCGUAAAGGGCGCGUAGGCGGCGAUCCUAGUCAGAUGUGAAAGUCCUGGGCUUAACCUGGGGACUGCAUUUGAUACUGGAUUGCUUGAAUUCGGGAGAGGAUAGCGGAAUUCCCAGUGUAGAGGUGAAAUUCGUAGAUAUUGGGAAGAACACCGGUGGCGAAGGCGGCUAUCUGGACCGACAUUGACGCUAAGGCGCGAAAGCGUGGGGAGCAAACAGG
rnacentral:rRNA from 1 species